rnacentral:rRNA from 1 species
GAUGAACGCUGGCGGCGUGCCUAAUACAUGCAAGUCGAGCGAACGGACGAGAAGCUUGCUGCUCUGAUGUUAGCGGCGGCCGGGUGAGGAACACGAGGAUAACCAACCUAUAAGACUGGGAUAACUACGGGAAGCCGGUGCUAAUACCGGAUAAUAUUUUGAACCGCACGGAUGAAAAGUGAAGGACGGUCUUGGUGUCGCUGGUGGAUGGACCCGCGCUGCAUUAGCUAGUUGGUAUGGUAACGGCUUACCAAGGCAACGAUGCGUAGCCGACCUGAGAGGGUGUUCGCCCACACUGGAAGUGAGAGACGCUCCAGACUCCUCCGGGGGGCAGCAGUGGGGAGUCUUCCGCACUGGGCGAAAGCCUGACGGAGCAACGCCGCGUGAGUGAUGAAGGGCUUCGGGUCGUAAAACUCUGUUAUUAGGGAAGAACAGAUGUGUAAGGUACGGUGCACAGCUGGACGUUACCGAAUCAGAAGGCCCCGCCUACUACGUG